rnacentral:rRNA from 1 species
UACGUAGGGUGCAAGCGUUGUCCGGAAUUAUUGGGCGUAAAGAGCUCGUAGGCGGUCUGUCGCGUCUGCUGUGAAAACUCAGGGCUUAACCCUGAGCUUGCAGUGGGUACGGGCAGACUAGAGUGCGGUAGGGGAGACUGGAAUUCCUGGGUGUAGCGGUGAAAUGCGCAGAUAUCAGGAGGAACACCGGUGGGCGAAGGCGGGUCUCUGGGCCGU